UUGAGCGCAAUAUACAUCGGACUCUUAUUUUGAUUUGCGGAGGAGGCUCACCUCGAGAAAAACGGGUGGCCGUGGCUUAAAAGGAUUCACAGGGAAAGUUCAGGAUAUAGGUCACGGAACAUUGAUAAAAACAUGAUACGCGUUAUAAAUGGAGGUGUUGUUUAUUUGGAGGAAUUAAAGAAUUCGUCGGAGAGUGACACGACAGAGAAGGCGACGUCAAGAAAGUGCGAGGGGCAGCUGUCUUCGACGAAGGCAAACAGCUGUUCGUCUUACAAAACUGCAAAUCGUACGACAGAAAUGGCGCAAGAGGGCAACAGUCCGUGUUGGAACAACCUGCCCAGCGUUAUCUUGCAGGAAAUAUUCUCGUAUCUGUCACAGAAUAGCCGGUUGAAAGCUUCUCAGGUUUGUAAAAAUUGGAGGUAUGCUCUGUUCCAUCCUAGUUUUUGGAAAAAGAUCACAUUUCUCCAUGGACACGAAGACAGUAUUGCAUGGGCUCGAUUCUUGGCAGAAAGCUUUGGACUUAGUGUGCAUGAAGCUACAAUUCGUUGCGAUACACCAAAUCAUUCUGCCGACGAAAUAUUAGCCAUCUUGAAGAAAUUGAGUUGUAACAGACAGCUUCGUAAAUUGUUUCUGGAAUCAUCAAGUAGCCCUUUUGAGCAUGAAUAUGAUAAGUACAUUAAUGGAUAUGUUACACCAUUGAUAAAACCUAUUACAAAAAUCAUUGAAACAGCUAAUCAUUUGGAAGCUUUGAGUUUUGGCUGCAUAGAAGAAUUGAGAGCAAGCGCCAGUGUGAUUCUAGAACCACUUCGUAUGAAUCAUGCCAAGCAUUUGACAACAUUGAGUUUGGCAUCUGUUAGAUCAAUAUCCAAUCCGGAUUAUAGCUUUUGGGAACAUGGGUUCGAUUCUGAACUUUUCUUUAACUCGUUCAUCAGAUUGUCUAUUUUGACGCUAGAUUAUGAGUUUGUCAGUGAUACUAUGCUGAAAGCAUUGGAUAAUGGAGUCAUGGAAAGGCUUGUAAUUCAUGUGCAUGCUUGGGUUGCCAAUUACCCGGGAACAAGUGAAGGUGCUUGGCAAAUUUUUGUUCAGAAGAAUCCAAAGUGUGAACUACGAUUGAGUCUUAUACACUCCUAUGUUGGUAUUGAAAUGUUGGAUACAGAUAUAUUUCGUCGUUCUAUGCCUCUUACACACUUGAAAGUACUAUUUUGUGAAACUGUUAACAUCAGAGCAUUGUUUAUGCUAUCCAGGUGGUAUAAUUUUACUUUGAAAUCCUUGAUAUGGAUAGAUUCUAUGCAUCCCAGUAGAAUUAUACCGGCAACCUUUGAUCCAACUGAGCCUGAUAGCCCCGACCCUUUAGUGUUUAUCGCAUGGAAGUGUACCAAUCUUGUGGAGAUUGUAUUCAUUGGCCACAAAUAUUAUCAGGAAAACUUGUUAGCUAUUGCACGCCUACGAGGAUGUUCCCUUAAGUCGUUAGUGUUCGCACAAAGAGACAUAGUAUCCUACAAUGAGUCCUGGCAUAAGGCUGAAAGUAUCACACAUGAAAUACAAGAGAUAAUGUGUCAUCGCUGGGAACCGUUAAGUGAUGCUGAUAUACCUCCAGUUGUUAAGGAUCCAUUUAAAGGUGACAGCAGAGACGUGAUCAUGCCGUUGGUCCUCCGUGACCAAAAGUAACUCUGUACGUGAGUCAUGGAAAGAUUACUCCCCAGUACCAGUUAUCGACAUCACCAACUAUUUCUGGGCGAGACAACAAUCUCAGAAGGAAAGUGAAUAUCCGAAGAAAAAAAAUCAAAGAACGAAGGCAAUGCGCACUAGAAUGAGAGGCGAUCAUCAUCAUGUACGAAGCAUAGGGGUUACGAAGAACAAAACUAAAAUGAAAAGCGAAACGGAAACUGGCCGAUUUCCGUGUUAUUCCACUGGGGGAAAGCGUUACGAAAUUCCACAUGUAUGUAAGUAGAAACAUGGUUAACAGAUAUUUUUCCAAGUCUAUCGGAACUAUAGAUCUAGCGAGCGCCAAGAGCAUGCAGUGUGAGAAUGAGUAACUGGAAAAAUGGGGUUGAAGACUUCCGAGAUAAGAGGUUGAUAUCAAUGUCGCGCAUACGUGAAUGAGAAAUGAUGUGCACUCAAUGAGAGAAGUUGAUCACAGCGAUCCGAGGUUAUUUUUAAUACCAAAACCAAUCGGACGCUCUUGUACAAAAAUAUUAAAAAUGAAUGUGUGCCGAGAAGAGUGCGGUCGAUUUGGUGGUACAAUGCAGAACUGUUUGCACAAUAAUACAGAAUUCUCAUAAUCUCUACGCAUCCGAAUGGGGAAUGAUCCAUAAACAUGUGCGAUGGCGUCUGAGUAAUUGUACAACCAUAAAGUACCCUCUCUUCGCCGUGCUCUUAGCGACCGCUGAAUAACGAAACACAAAUAUAGUUGUCUAUUAAAGGGAAAACAAAAAUCAGAGGAAUUAGCUGCUAAUCGUGUAUUUGUGUAUAUGUAUGUAUAUCUGUAUUAUCUAUAUCGAACUUUAAACGUUAAUAUUCCGGAUGCCGUCGCGCAUCUGUUUCUGUCGUGCGAUUAAAUAAUGACGAUUUCGAACGUUCAUACAAUGAUCCACGAAACACAAAGGAAAAAAAAACAACAAAAAAUACCAAAACAACAAGAACAAGAACACACAACCCGUAUAUACAGUUUAUUAUUCUGAGAAGUUAUUUACCUGUUUUUUUUUUGUUUUUUUCGAGCCCUUGUAUAAUUAUUAUAUUACAUCGUGUCGUGUAUUGUACUUGUAGUCAAAGUGUACUAUUGUUCUUUUGUUUUCUUUUAUAUGUGGUUCUGUACAUACAUUCAUGCGUUAUAUGGAGGGUGAAGCGAGGAAAGAAAAACGAAAUGGAAAACUAUAUUGGACAUAUGCGCAGGAAUCGCAGAAUUGCGCCUGAAUUUAAUAAUGCAAAAGGCUGAAUAGAGAGGCAGAUGGAGAGAGAGAAAUAGAUAAAAAGAUGAUGAAGAGCGAAGUAAUAUAUUACCGUUUAAUUCGGAACGAAUGGCGCGAAAGAACAGAUGUAAUAAGGAGGUUCCGAUCGAGAGCUAGGCACAAAAUACGAGUAUAACUAUUUCUUUAAAAAAAAACAAACGAUUUAUGCUGUUAUACAAGAUGAAACGGGCCUUAAUAUGUACCUGAGUCGCGG
rnacentral:misc_RNA from 1 species